UUAAGUUCAGCGGGUAGUCCUACUCGAUUUGAGGUCAAGUUGUCAGACAUUGUCCGAAGACGGUUUAUGAAGCACAGAGCUCCCAAUCGGCCACCCUCUUUCAAGGCGCCGGCGAAGACACUUAUCACGCCGUACUAUGUCCAAUCAGGAGUUGCACUAAUACAUUUAAGGUGAGCCGCUCGUAAAAGCGGCAAGCACCC
rnacentral:misc_RNA from 1 species